UACGAAGGGAGCUAGCGUUGUUCGGAAUCACUGGGCGUAAAGCGCACGUAGGCGGAUGUGUCAGUCAGGGGUGAAAUCCCGGAGCUCAACUUCGGAACUGCCUUUGAUACAGCACGUCUUGAGUCCGAUAGAGGUGGGUGGAAUUCCUAGUGUAGAGGUGAAAUUCGUAGAUAUUAGGAAGAACACCGGUGGCGAAGGCGGCCCACUGGAUCGGUACUGACGCUGAGGUGCGAAAGCGUGGGGAGCAAACAGGAU
rnacentral:rRNA from 1 species